UGCCUAACAGCUAGCCCACCCAAACAAUUUCAACAAACCCCUGUUAAUAACCCCUAAGUACCCCAGUAUUUAUUUUAAACAAACCAUUUUUCCCCCUUAGUAUAGGCGAUAGAAAAGGGCCCACGGCGCAAUAGAGAAAGUACCGCAAGGGAACGCUGAAAGAGAAGUGAAACAACCCAGUAAAGCCUAAAAAAGCAGAGAUCUAAACUCGUACCUUUUGCAUCAUGAUUUAGCAAGUGUAACCCAAGCAAAGCGUACUUUAGUUUGACGUCCCGAAACUAGGUGAGCUACUCCAAGACAGCCUAUCAAUAGGGCGUACCCGUCUCUGUGGCAAAAGAGUGGGGAGAGCUUUGAGUAGAGGUGACAAACCUACCGAACCUAGUUAUAGCUGGUUGUCCAAGAAAUGAAUAGAAGUUCAGCCUUUCAGCUUCUCUUUUCACCUUAGUCUGACCCCUAUUGAUGCAUUAAAGAAACCGAAAGAGUUAGUCAAAGGGGGUACAGCCCCUUUGAAUCAAGACACAACUUUACCAGGAGGGUAAAGAUCAUAAUAAUUAAAGCUAAAUGUUCUGGUGGGCCUAAAAGCAGCCAUCCCCUUAGAAAGCGUUAAAGCUCAGACAUGCGACCAUACUUCUUAUCCUGAUCACUUAAUCUUACCCCCCUAACCGUACUGGACCAUCCCAUGCCAACAUGGGAGUGACUAUGCUGAAAUGAGUAAUAAGAGAGCUACCGGCUCUCUCCCUGCACACGUGUAUAUCGGAACGGACAACCCACCGAACCUUAACGGCCCCAAAUAAAGAGGGCAGUGGAUGUUAGACCAAAAAACUAGAAAAAUAUCCAAAAACCAACCGUUAAACCCACACAGGUGUGCCCCCAGGGAAAGACUAAAAGA
rnacentral:rRNA from 1 species